GGUUACUCUGCCCAGUCCACCACAGUCAUCCCUUCAUCAGGUUACUCUGCCCAGUCCACCACAGUCAUCCCUUCAUCAGGUUACUCUGCCCAGUCUACCACAGUCAUCCCUUCAUCAGGUUACUCUGCCCAGUCCACCACAGUCAUCCCUUCAUCAGGUUACUCUGCCCAGUCCACCACAGUCAUCCCUUCAUCAGGUUACUCAGUCCAGUCCACCAGUCAUCCCUUCAUCAGGUUACUCUGCCCAGUCCACCACAGUCAUCCCUUCAUCAGGUUACUCUGCCCAGUCCACCACAGUCAUCCCUUCAUCAGGUUACUCUGCCCAGUCCACCACAGUCAUCCCUUCAUCAGGUUACUCUGCCCAGUCCACCACAGUCAUCCCUUC